CUCCGGUGCCUACUGAGCUGAUAUCAGUUCUGAUUUUACACACUGGCUCAGUUCAGCAG
rnacentral:pre_miRNA from 9 species